CCUACGGGGGGCAGCAGUAGGGAAUUUUCGGCAAUGGGGGGAACCCUGACCGAGCAACGCCGCGUGAACGAAGAAGUUAUUCGUAAUGUAAAGUUCUUUUAACAGGGAAGAAAGAGAAAUUUGACGGUACCUGAAGAAUAAGCUCCGGCUAACUACGUGCCAGCAGCCGCGGUAAUACGUAGGAGGCAAGCGUUAUCCGGAAUGACUGGGCGUAAAGGGUGCGUAGGUGGUUCGGCAAGUUAGUAGCGUAAUUCCGGGGAUCAACCUCGGAACUACUACUAAAACUGUUGGGCUUGAGUGCAGGAGGGGCAUAUGGAAUUCCUAGUGUAGCGGUGGAAUGCGUAGAUAUUAGGAAGAACACCAGUGGCGAAGGCGAUAUGCUGGACUGUAACUGACACUGAGGCACGAAAGCGUGGGGAGCAAACAGGAUUAGAUACCCGAGUAGUC
rnacentral:rRNA from 1 species